rnacentral:misc_RNA from 1 species
GAGCUUUCCUCUUUCUUUCAGGCAUAUUACUUGACCUCUCUUCCUCGAAAUAUGCUCUUGUUAAGGGGAGUGAUCGAUCGGAGAUGGAAAGAGACGGUUCCGAUUCUGACAACGAACGGAAAUCUUCUUAUUUUUCCUUAUUUCUUUUCUUUCUAAUGUGCGCGCGAUUUGCUAACGUGCACCGUUUCCUACGUGUCAAGGGACAGCUCGUUGGGAAUUUACGCAGGCGUAUCUAUAGUGAAGAC